GACGAACGCUGGCGGCGUGCUUAACACAUGCAAGUCGAACGGAAAGGCCCUGCUUGCAGGGUACUCGAGUGGCGAACGGGUGAGUAACACGUGGGUGAUCUGCCCUGCACUUCGGGAUAAGCCUGGGAAACUGGGUCUAAUACCGGAUAGGAGCCAUUUUUAGUGUGAUGGUUGGUAAGUUUUUUCGGUGUAGGAUGAGCUCGCGGCCUAUCAGCUUGUUGGUGGGGUAAUGGCCUACCAAGGCGGCGACGGGUAGCCGGCCUGAGAGGGUGGACGGCCACAUUGGGACUGAGAUACGGCCCAGACUCCUACGGGAGGCAGCAGUGGGGAAUAUUGCACAAUGGGCGCAAGCCUGAUGCAGCGACGCCGCGUGGGGGAUGACGGCCUUCGGGUUGUAAACUCCUUUCGCUAGGGACGAAGCUUUUUGUGACGGUACCUAGAUAAGAAGCACCGGCUAACUACGUG
rnacentral:rRNA from 1 species